rnacentral:rRNA from 1 species
UCUACGAAUUCCACCUCUACACUAGAAAUUCCACUUUCCUCUAUCAUACUCUAGCUAAAAAGUUUUGAUGGCAGUUCCAAGGUUGAGCCUUGGGAUUUCACCAUCAACUUUUUUAACCACCUACGAACUCUUUAAGCCCAGUAAUUCCGAGCUACGCUAGGUCCCUUCGUAUUACCGCGGCUGCUGGCACGAAGUUAGCCGGACCUUCUUAUUCGGGUACAGUCAUUUUCUUCCCCGACGAAAGAGUUUUACAACCCAAAGGCCUUCUUCACUCACGCGGCAUCGCUGCAUCAGGGUUUCCCCCAUUGUGCAAGAUUCCCCACUGCUGCCUCCCGUAGGAGUUUGGGCCGUGUCUCAGUCCCAAUGUGGCUGGUCUUCCUCUAAGAACAGCUAUUGAUCGUAGCCUUGGUAAGCUAUUACCUUACCAACUAGCUAAUCAAGUGCGGGCUCAUCUUUUGGCAUUAAAACUUUCCCUGUAAAGGCUUAUCCGGUAUUAGCACAAGUUUCCUCGUGUUAUUCCGAACCAAAAGGCAGAUUCCCACAUUAUACUCACCCGUUUGCCACUCAGUAUUGCUACUGCGUUCGACUUGCAUGUGUUAGGCGUGCCGCCAGCGUACGUUCUGAGCCAGGAUCAAACUCU